rnacentral:lncRNA from 1 species
AUGACGCACUUUUCCAGCUCGAGCCCUCACGAGGCCGUGGGUACGACCGGAAGCCGCAGACUGAAUCUCGCUCUGUUGCCCAGCCCAUCUCGGCCCACUGAAACCUCCACCUCCCGGGUUCAAGCGAUUCUCCUGCCUCAGCCUCCCGAGUAGCUGAGAUUACAGGCGCCUGCCACCACGCCCAGGUAAUUUUUGUAUUUUUGGUAGAGACGGGGUUUCACCAUGUUGGCCAGGCUGGUCUCAAACUCCUGACCUCAGGUGAUCUGUCCACCUUGGCCUCCCAAAGUGCUGGGAUUACAGGUGUGAACCACCUCGCCCGGCCAUCUACUUUUUUUAAUAGCCCUCCUUAUCACCUUUAUUCAUUUGACUCACUGAUGAUUCCCAAGUGCUAAGAACAAUGUCUGUCAUGUAAUUGAUGAAAACUUUGUUGAAUUAAUACCUUUGUUGUGUUUUAUUCACACUGUAUAUACAAUACCUGGAUGAAGAGAGAUAUUUUUAGCACUAUUAAAAUACAUGCAUUGGCUCAAUACAUGAAUUGGAUCAAUUCUGGAACCCUAACAAGAUCACAU